GUGUCAGCAGCCGCGGUAAUACGUAGGGUCCAAGCGUUGUCCGGAAUUAUUGGGCGUAAAGAGCUCGUAGGCGGUCCGUUAAGUCGGAAGUGAAAUCUCAAGGCUCAACCUUGAAAUCGCUCUCGAUACUGGCGGACUUGAGGCAGGUAGGGGAAGGUGGAAUUCCUGGUGUAGCGGUGAAAUGCGCAGAUAUCAGGAGGAACACCGGUGGCGAAGGCGGCCUUCUGGGCCUGUUCUGACGCUGAGGAGCGAAAGCGUGGGGAGCAAACAGGAUUAGAUACCCUGGUAGUCC
rnacentral:rRNA from 1 species